GACGAACGCUGGCGGCGUGCUUAACACAUGCAAGUCGAGCGGUAAGGCUCCUUCGGGAGUACACGAGCGGCGAACGGGUGAGUAACACGUGAGCAACCUGCCCUUCUCAUCGGAAUAAGCGUUGGAAACGACGUCUAAUGCCGAAUAUGACAACGGAUCGCAUGAUCUGUUGUGGAAAGCUCCGGCGGAGAAGGAUGGGCUCGCGGCCUAUCAGCUUGUUGGUGGGGUAACGGCCCACCAAGGCGACGACGGGUAGCCGGCCUGAGAGGGUGACCGGCCACACUGGGACGGAGACACGGCCCAGACUCCUACGGGAGGCAGCAGUGGGGAAUAUUGGACAAUGGGCGGAAGCCUGAUCCAGCAACGCCGCGUGAGGGAUGACGGCCUUCGGGUUGUAAACCUCUUUCAGCACCGACGAAGCGCAAGUGACGGUAGGUGCAGAAGAAGGACCGGCCAACUACGUGCCAGCCGCCGCCGUAACAC
rnacentral:rRNA from 1 species